UACAGAGGUCCCGAGCGUUGUUCGGAUUCAUUGGGCGUAAAGGGUGCGUAGGCGGCGGGGCAAGUCUGAUGUGAAAUCCCGGGGCUCAACCCUGGAACUGCAUUGGAUACUGCCUUGCUAGAGUACUGGAGAGGAAACUGGAAUUUACGGUGUAGCAGUGAAAUGCGUAGAGAUCGUAAGGAAGACCAGUGGCGAAGGCGAGUUUCUGGACAGUUACUGACGGCUGAG
rnacentral:rRNA from 1 species